UACGAAGGGGGCUAGCGUUGCUCGGAAUCACUGGGCGUAAAGCGCACGUAGGCGGACUCUUAAGUUGGGGGUGAAAGCCCAGGGCUCAACCCUGGAAUUGCCUUCAAUACUGGGAGUCUUGAGUAUGGCAGAGGUUGGUGGAACUGCGAGUGUAGAGGUGAAAUUCGUAGAUAUUCGCAAGAACACCAGUGGCGAAGGCGGCCAACUGGGCCAUUACUGACGCUGAGGUGCGAAAGCGUGGGGAGCAAACAGGAUUAGAAACCCC
rnacentral:rRNA from 1 species